CGAACCUUCGGGUUAGUGGCGGACGGGUGAGUAACGCGUGGGAAUCUGCCCUCAGGAGGGGGAUAACGGCCGGAAACGGCCGCUAAUACCCCAUAUGCCGAGAGGUGAAAUGAAUUUCGCCUGAGGAUGAGCCCGCGUCUGAUUAGCUAGUUGGUGAGGUAAGAGCUCACCAAGGCAUCGAUCAGUAGCUGGUCUGAGAGGAUGAUCAGCCACACUGGGACUGAGACACGGCCCAGACUCCUACGGGAGGCAGCAGUGGGGAAUUUUCCGCAAUGGGCGAAAGCCUGACGGAGCAACGCCGCGUGAGGGAUGAAGGCCUCUGGGCUGUAAACCUCUUUUAUCAAGGAAGAAGAUCUGACGGUACUUGAUGAAUAAGCCACGGCUAAUUCCGUGCCAGCAGCCGCGGUAAUACGGGAGUGGCAAGCGUUAUCCGGAAUUAUUGGGCGUAAAGCGUCCGCAGGCGGCCCUACAAGUCUGCUGUUAAAAAGUGGAGCUUAACUCCAUCAUGGCAGUGGAAACUGUUGGGCUCGAGUGUGGUAGGGGCAGAGGGAAUUCCCGGUGUAGCGGUGAAAUGCGUAGAUAUCGGGAAGAACACCAGUGGCGAAGGCGCUCUGCUGGGCCAUCACUGACGCUCAUGGACGAAAGCCAGGGGAGCGAAAGGGAUUAGAUACCCCUGUAGUCCUGGCCGUAAACGAUGAACACUAGGUGUCGGGGGAAUCGACCCCUCCGGUGUCGUAGCCAACGCGUUAAGUGUUCCGCCUGGGGAGUACGCACGCAAGUGUGAAACUCAAAGGAAUUGACGGGGGCCCGCACAAGCGGUGGAGUAUGUGGUUUAAUUCGAUGCAACGCGAAGACCUUACCAGGAUUUGACAUCCUGCGAAUCUCUUGAAACUUGAGAGUGCCUUCGGGAGCGCAGUGACAGGUGUGCAUGCCUGUCGUCAGCUCGUGUCGUGAGAUGUUGGGUUAAGUCCCGCAACGAGCGCAAUC
rnacentral:rRNA from 1 species